UAGGUUCCCCACUUCCCAUGAAUUUUCCUA
rnacentral:piRNA from 1 species